CCUACGGGUGGCAGCAGUGAGGAAUAUUGGUCAAUGGGCGCGAGCCUGAACCAGCCAAGUCGCGUGAGGGAAGACGGUCCUAUGGAUUGUAAACCUCUUUUGUCGGGGAGCAAAAGACGCCACGCGUGGCGUUCCGAGAGUACCCGAAGAAAAAGCAUCGGCUAACUCCGUGCCAGCAGCCGCGGUAAUACGGAGGAUGCGAGCGUUAUCCGGAUUUAUUGGGUUUAAAGGGUGCGCAGGUGGUGAAUCAAGUCAGCGGUGAAAGUUAGUGGCUCAACCUCAACAUUGCCGUUGAAACUGGUUGACGAGAGCAGAGUUGAGGUAGGCGGAAGGCGGGGUGUAGCGGUGAAAUGCAUAGAUAUCACGCAGAACUCCGAGUGCGAAGG
rnacentral:rRNA from 1 species